UUAGCUCUUAAUGAUGGUCCUCUCCUGUCAUCAGUUUCUGAACAUUUGGUACCAAGAGUAUCAAUCAUCAUAGAAGUUACAAUAAAAUUCUUAAAAGGAGAAAUGAGGGUACGAGAGUUCACUCACGCCGCAAAUGGUCACCAAACCCCCAAAUUGAAAACCCUAAAGUCGGAAUCCUAACCCUCUGAAAUUUUAGAACAAAAUGGGGGUGAAUAGAUACCUUCUCCACCACGAUGGUAAGCGACGGGAUCAGAGGACGAUGCUGACGACCGAUGUGAGCACGCCGCGAAGACGACUGAUGGCUCUCGAGUGGUUAGCGUCGAGUGGGGAAGAGGAGCGGUGAGUGUGGAAGAGGAGUGCCGACACCGAUGGUUCUCGAGUGGAUGGUGCGACGGC
rnacentral:lncRNA from 1 species